rnacentral:rRNA from 1 species
AGUGGCGGACGGGUGAGUAACGCGUGAGCAACCUGCCCUUCGGAGGGGGAUAGUGUCUGGAAACGGACAGUAAUACCGCAUAACGUAUUGAUACCGCAUGAUAUUGAUACCAAAACUGAGGUGCCGAAGGAUGGGCUCGCGUUGGAUUAGAUAGUUGGUGGGGUAACGGCCUACCAAGUCGACGAUCCAUAGCCGGACUGAGAGGUUGAACGGCCACAUUGGGACUGAGACACGGCCCAGACUCCUACGGGAGGCAGCAG